CAGUCGCCGCGGUAAUACCAGCAGCCCAAGUGGUGGUCGCGAUUAUUGGGCCUAAAGCGCUCGUAGCCGGGCCGGUAAGUCCCUUGUGAAAUCGGACGGCCUAACCGUUCGGCGUGCAAGGGAUACUGUCGGUCUUGAGGCCGGGAGACGUCCGAGGUACUCCGGGGGUAGCGGUGAAAUGUUCUGAUCCUCGGGGGACCACCGGUGGCGAAGGCGUUCGACGAGAACGGGCCUGACGGUGAGGGGCGAAGGCUAGGGGAGCAAACGGGAUUAGAUACCCCGGUAGUCCCUGUCUCUUAUU
rnacentral:rRNA from 1 species